rnacentral:sRNA from 1 species
GCUGCUGGCAAAAUCCAGUGGCCGGGUUUGACGGCCCGAAACACCCAAGGCGGACGCAACCGCCGAGAGUCUCAGGCGGUUUUUGU